rnacentral:misc_RNA from 1 species
UUAAGUUCAGCGGGUAUCCCCACCUGAUCCGAGGCCAAGCGUGCUGUAAAAACAGGCGGCUACCUCUCGAGACUGGCUUCUGCUAUUGCGCAUAGCCGGCCGCGGGGCGGCGCCACAAGGGUUUCGACCCGGUCCGUCGCCAUAAGGCUGGGACGCGGAUCAACGCAAGGCUGAGCCUUAGUUGUACUACGGCGCUCGAA